CUCUGGCAGCCAGCUCAGCCUGUCCGCUCAGUUGUGUCCCGUCAAGCCUCCCUCCCACUCUCCCACUCCCGGGAAAAGUCUGUCUGGCAAAGUCUUCCAAGUUCAGAACCUUGGCAGACGCAGUUUUCCAGAAGGAAGCCCACGACCCCCGGGAAAUGGCUGUUUGUCCCUUCCCCACAGGGCAAGGGUGUUGGAUGGCAGGCCCUGGGAGAAGCUUGGCCCAGGAGGAGGACUUGCUGACACUGCGACUCGAGCCAUCAGCGGGGUGUUGGGGACAUUUGUGACCCCCACCCCCCCCCCCGCCCCGCCUAGGUCUGGCAGCGUCCUCCCGCGCCCUGGAAGGCCUUGGGGGGUGGCGGUCCCUGCAAUGUCGGGGUCUCUUCACGCCCCCCCGCCCCGACUGCUCCCUGGGUCUGCAACCUCUUGGCCUCCUGUGUCCCCCACUCAUCAGCGCCCGGCUCCCAGAGCCCCCUCUGGAGCCGCGGAUCCAGCCGCAGGCCCGUGGAGGGUUCCAGAUUCUGACCGAAGCGACUGCAUCGCUGUGGUUCUCGCCGUGAGUCAUGGCGGGUCUGCACCGCCUUCCUAUCUGGGGAGCCGGAGAUGCCUUUAAUUCCCUCCAGCUGGGCCCUGCAGGGCUGAGGGCACCGUCUAGAAGUCGUUUCUGAUUAGACGUUGACCUCAGAAGUAUGCGCGCAUCAUUUUGAAAACAUCCGCCAGCACCACAGAAACCGACCCUGGAGGAGAAGGGACGCGGCGGACGCAGGCCAGGCCCGGGGCCCUCCCACACGGCCUCGGGGGCUGGGGGGCCGCCGGCCUCAGUCAGAGUCGGGGUGCCGUCCCCCAUCGGCUUCCCGGAGGCCCGCACGGACCUGGGGCCAGCCGGGGGCGACAGGGACGAUCGUCGUGGUCGUGGUCGUUCUCAUGUGACGCCGGCCGAUAUUACUGAGUCAUUGCAGACCACGGCGUUCUCACGGAGCUGUCUGUCCUAGCAGCGUCCUGUCAGGCAGGCACCCCUGGAGUUUGUGGUCUGAGUGGCGCUGUCAGUACGUCUCAGGAGCUGGGAGGUCAGAGUGGAAGGUCAAAGCUCCUGACCCACUUGGGCGGGACUAUCUGGUGGCAGAAUCGGAGGUCCCAUUAGGAACACAAAGCCCGAAGCAAAGCCUGCUGAGCCCCGUGGGAGAAGCUGUGAACCGGAGAGGUGGCAAAGGGCGGUCCGAGGUGGUGAGCAGGCCCUGAGUGGGGUUCAAGGUCAGCGGUGAUAGGAACGGGGAGCAGCAGGUUGGCUACACGGGCUGGAGAGCAGCAGAAAGCUGAGGUUGACCGAGGGGAUCUUCCUGACCCAGGGAUCGAACCUGUGUCUCCUGCAUUGGAAGGCAGAUUCUUUACCCCUGAACCCCCUGGGAAGCCCGACCACAGUCUUGGUUCUGAUUAUCUGCUGUCCACUCUGUGGUCUGCGAAGACAGGUGGGAAUGAAACUUUCAUUUCCCCGAGGGCCUGCAGGCUGUUGGAAGGGACCAGACUGGGAGCAGUCGCCUCCAACCAGAGGACUCUGGGAAGCUCCGACCUCGAGGCUGGAAGUCCAAAAUCAAAGUGUCCACCAGGCCACGGUCCCUCUGAUGGCUCCAGCUAGGGAGGCUCCCUCAUUGCUUUUUCUAGCUUCUGGAUGCUCCAGAGAUUCCUUGGUUCGUAGCAGCCCAACCCUAGUCUCUGCCCCUGUCUUCACGAGGCCGUCUCUGGGUCUCUCUGCCUUUUCCUCCUCUCAGACGGACACUGGGCACUGGGUUGAGGCCCCACCCCCACCCCCAGAUAAUCCAGGAUGAUCUUGAGGUCACUGAUAAUGCCAAGGACGCUUUUUCCAAAUAAGGUAACUUUCACAGGUUCCUGGUGGACACUCGUGGGGUCUGAGGCGUGCAUGCAUGCUAAAGUCACUUCAGUCGUGUCUCACUCUUUGUGACCCCAUGGACUGUAGCCCGCCAGGCUCCUCUCUUCAUGGGAUUCCCCAGGCAAGAACACUGGAGUGGGUUGCCUUGCCCUCCUCCAGGAGGUCUUCCCAACCCAGGGAUUGAACCCGCGACUCUUACAUCUCCUGCAUUGGCAGGUGGGUUCUCUACCUCUAGCACUGCCGGGAGGCCCCAUUUAACCUGUGACGGUCAGUAAUGCCUAAUUCCCCCCAUUAAGUGGGAGCUUCCUGAGAGUGGAAACUGCACCUCCCUUCCUUCCCAACUUCCUCCCUCCCUCCCCUCCUUCCUUCCAGAAAUGUCGAGGGAGCACCAGGCACAGUGCUGGGCCCCGAGGAGACUGAAGCAAUGCAAACAUGGAUAUGUUAGCUGCCUUCACAGAGCUGACUUUGCAGUGGGGGAGACAGACCCAGCAGACACAGACACUACACAGGUUGCAGUCUGUCUCCUGCCGGAAUGUGCGCUCUCCCCUGCUGUGUCCAGAACACACCCCCAGCGUCACUGAGGAGUACACGUGGAGCGAGCAGGCGCUCUCACCCAGCUACCCGGCCUCGGUUUCCCUGGAUGUGCAGUGAGGGUGGAGCGACUGAGCCAGGCCUCCAGGUGCUUCUGGGUGGAUCCUGCGAGCAGACCCGAGUAGAAGCACCUGGCCCAGGCACUCACCAGAUACACGCUCACAUCCCUGGCUGUCGGAUUUCCAAUGUUGUGUGUGGCUUUUGUGAAAAAUCCUUACCGAUGGUUCAUUUUGUCCAAGCCAGUAAUUUUCUAUUUUUUUAAUUUAUUUGUUCAUUUUCAGCUGUGCUGUCUCCUCACUGCCGCACGGGGGCUUUCCCCUUGUGGUGGCGUGCGGGGGCUGCUGAGUUGCGGUGCGCAGGCUUUGCAUUGCGGCGGCUUCUCCUGUCUCAGAGCACGGGCUCUCGGGCUCAUGGGCUCAGUCGUUGCGGCUGCCAGACUCCAGAGCACAGGCUGGGUAGUCACGGCAUGCGGCUUGGUGGCUCCACUGCAUGUGGGAUCUUCCCGGAUCAGGGCUUGAACCCCUGUCUCCUGCCUUGGCAGGCGGAGUCUUUGCCGCUGAGCCACCAGGGAAGAAGCCCUGGCUGGGGCUUUAUAAACAGUCAGGAGAAGCACCACCCCCAGCUCCCAAGGGCAGCCACCAUUUAUAGAGACUCACCUGGUAAGGCCUGUGUGGGGUCUUUGCACGUCGAGUGUUUCUGCACAACAGCUGGGGGAGGCCCAGGGAGGAGAACCCUGAGGGCCAGGGAAGUGGGCUCAUGGGCCUGUGGAAGUGACGCGUGGAGCUUAGGACUGUGUCCGCUCUCCUGAGCGAAGCAGGUGGGGGCGCUUACUGGGGGAGGAGCUGAUCCGUGGUGGGUUACAGGCACCCCCACAUGGUGGCCAAGAGCCUGGGCUCCCGAGGCACCCGCGUGGAGGUGGCCAUGAGCCCCAGCUGGGCUGCUUUCCCGCUGGGCGGCCUCAGCAGGCGACUUCACACCUCUGAGCCUCGGUUUCCUGUCAGAAGGGGUGACGGGCGCCCGUGGUGAGAGCGUCACAGGCACAGCCCUGAGCGCUGUUACUGUGCCGAGUUCAGAGCUGAGUAGAGGAGGCGAGGGCAGCACAGUAACAGCCCCUGAAGACAUCCACCUAGACCCUGGAACCCGUGAAUGGAUGCCACCUGGAGAGCGGGGUUAAGGUUGCAGCUGGAAUUAAGCUUGCUAGUCAGCUGACCUCACGGUCAGGAGACUGGCCUGGGGGACACGGGUGGGUCCAGUGGAACCAUAAGAGCCCGUAAACGUGGACGAGGGAGGCAGCGAGGAAGGCUGGACCUGCCUCUGCUGGUGAUAGACGGAGGAAGGGGCCGUGAGCCAAGGAGUGUGGGUGGCCCCCAGAAGCUGGAAAAGGCAGGAAAAAGCCUUGAGCUUCCAGAAGGAAUGCAGCCCUGCCAUCACCUUGACUGUAGGCUUCUGACCUCCCAGACUGUAAGGCGAUAACGCUCAGCUGUUUUAAGGCAUAAGUUUGUGGCAAUUUGUCAGUGCGGUGACAGGAAACUCAGAGGAGGGGAAGGACCCAUCUCAGGAGGCAGGCUACAGCCGGGCUUCCCUGGGGGGCUCAGUGGCAGACUCAACCUGGGUCUCCCUCCUCGGAGCAGAACUUAGCAGUAUUAGCAUCAGUUUAAGACCGCUGAUGGGUGUGUGUGUAUAUGUGUGUGUGUGUGUGUGUGUAAAAGCUUGUAGAACCCAGGCCCUUUGUAAAUGAAAAGACUGUCCAGAGCAUCAGUAUUUCAGAGUGAGGUGUCCCCAGAAUUAGUCCUGAGCAAUGUUCUGCUCCACAUGGCCCCAUGGGUCAGCCAGGUAAGAAAUGCUUUGUUUCCACCUUUUAAACAGCUGUGGUACUCUUCGUCUCUGAGAGAUUCUGAGGCCUGCAGCAAAAAGCAAGAAAAGCUUUCUAACUCCAAUUCAGCACUUCCAAAGAUAUCAUACCAUAAACCUGCUUCCCCCAGUCUCCUCCCUAUGGAACAUCUGCUAACAGCUCACAAAGUUUGUGUUUGGUGGACGGGCUAAUCUAAUCAAAUCGAUUCAUGAGAUAAAUGGAGAAAUCGAAGCCCAACAAGGUGGAGGGGCACUGGAGAAGCAGUGCGGCUCAGAGCGCAGAACGUGGGUUUCGGAGUCAAAGCGCCAGGGCUGUGCAGCUGGGCUCUGCUGGAGUGAGUUGCAUGGACCUGGGGAAGUCAUGCCACCUCUCAGGGCCUCUGAUUCCUGAUGAGUAAAAUGUAGGUAAGAGAGCCUGCGUGGCAGAAUACUGGGAAUGACUGUCACCAUCUAUUUGGGCUGUUAUAACCAAAUACCAUGGUGGCGGGGGUGGGGAGGGGUGCUUGCGAGCAAUAGCAAUUUAUUUCUCACAGUUCCAGAGGUUGGGAGUCUGAGAGCAGGAUGCCAACAUGGGCAGGUCCUGGUGAGGGCCCUCUUGUAGACUGCAGACUGCCCACAUCUUGUGUCCUCAUGGGGUGGAAGGAGAGCUCUCUGGGGCCUCUUUUGUAAGGGCACUAAUCCCCUUCAUGAGGGCUCCACCCUUAAGACCUAAUUACUCCCAAAGGCACCUCCUAACACCAUUACAUUGAGGGCCAGGAUUUUAGCCUGAGUUUUCAGUCCAUAUUCAUGGCCUACUGAAGUGGCUGGCACCCAGCUGGUAGGUUGUUAGGGAAGAGUAGGUACUACUAUUUCUUACAAGUUUCCUGUUGUUGCCACAAGUCACCACAAACUUAAUGGCUCAUGGGACAAAUUAAUUAUCUUACAUUUCUGGAGAUAAGAGUCCUAAAGGCAAGAUGUCAGCCGGGCUGUUCCUUUUGGAGGCUCCAGAGCAGAAUCUGGCCUUUUCCAGUUUCUAGAAGCUUCCUGUGUUCCUUGGCUCAUAUCACUCAGCGUGGGGGUGACGGCUUUCUCUGUUUUUAUUUCUGGUUCAGGUAGACAGGGGACACCCAGCUAGUUUAAAUGCUGAUGCCCAGGACCCAGGAGAGGGGGGCGUGAGGAUAAAGGGGAGCAGUUGACCAGGUGCUCAGUGGGCGGGAGGAGGCUCCCCCAGAAUCCCCACGUGGGGGUGGACAGCCACCUGGGAGGAAGGACCCAGCGUGGGGAGGCCUGUGGCCCGUGACCAGGACGGGUGUGCAGCGAACAUGUGGGCACCAGCUCUGGGUGGGACCGGCGGCAGCCUGGGGACCCCUGGAUGGGUCAUAUGGGGCUUUACAUUUAUGAGUGAUGCGGUCCGUUUGGCACCUCAGAACCAACGUCUGGCAGCUGAGUGAGUGGGGAGGAGCAGCACAGAGACCAGUAAGGAGGCCGCUGUUCAGACCCAUCAAGCUGUUAGGGACAGCGCUGACAAGCAUCCUCCUGCUUUGCGGAGGUGCUGGGGGAAACUUGCGUUGUGACUCAAGAUGGGGAAUGUUCUGAGAUGUAUGCUUUGAGGUUUAUUUUUGUAAAACUUUUUUUUUUUCUGGAUGUGGGCCCUUUAUUGAAUUUAUUACAAAACUGCUUCUGUUUUAUGUUUUAGUCUAUAGGGGCCACAAGGCAUGUGGGAUCUGAGCUCCCUGACCAGGGAUUGAACCCAUACCCUCUGCAUUGGAAGGCGAAGUCCCAACCACUGGAUCACCAGUGAAGUCCGUUUUGAAAUUUAAAAACACAAGAUCUAGGGUGGGUGUCCACAGCCUCCAGGCCGAGGACCGUACCUCCUGUCAGAUCAGUAAUGGCAUUAGAUUUAGAAAUAAAGUGAACAAUAAAUAAAAUGUGCUUGAAUCAUCCUGAAACCAUCCCUCCAAAUCCCAUUUUUCUGUGGAAAAAUGGUCUUCCAUGAAAUUGGUCUCUGGUGCCAAAAAGGUUGUUGUUCAGUCGCUAAGUCACGUCCAACUCUUUUGCAACCCCAUGGACUACAGCACGCCAGGCUUCUCUGUCCUUCACUGACUCCUGGAGUUUGCU